CGUAGGUGGUUUGGUAAGCGAGAUGUGAAAGCCCCGGGCUUAACCUGGGAACGGCAUUUCGAACUGUCAGACUAGAGUGUGGUAGAGGGUAGUGGAAUUUCCUGUGUAGCGGUGAAAUGCGUAGAUAUAGGAAGGAACACCAGUGGCGAAGGCGGCUACCUGGACCAACACUGACACUGAGGUGCGAAAGCGUGGGGAGCAAACA
rnacentral:rRNA from 1 species